rnacentral:tRNA from 1 species
GUGGGUAUACCUCAGUGGUAGAGCAUGUGAUUAGCAUGCAUGAGGUCCUGGGUUCAACUCCCAGUACCUCUG